CUGUAUACAAGGUAAUAUUUACAUAAAAAUAUGACCUUUUUUUUCCUUUUAGCUUUUCAACCUGUGCCAGUCCACCAUGAAUUUCUCUCUUCAAAUGUUGGUAAACCUGUGCCAGUCCCCUAUGAAUUUCUGUAAGUUUUAUUACUUUUAUCAUCUGCAGAAUCUUUGUUGUGCAUAAAUAAUUUAUUAUUUUGAGAAGUAUUAUUUUAAUUAUUAUUAUUUGAAUUAUGAUUUUAAAGAAGGAUUAGGGACAUUUUAAUGUAUUAAGCGAAUUCAUUUAUAAAAUACAGUGAAUUCUCAUUAUGCUUCAGUCUUUGGGACCAAGAGAAAAUGUCCAUAAGAUUUUAAAAACAGUAAGUUCAUACAAAUAAGAAAAGCUAGAUAGAAGAGUUUCACUAGCUGAAUAAAACUAUAAAUAGUCGUGAAUAGCGGCUAAACCUUCUAAUUGUUUAUAAUGAUUUCGAGUAGUGUUUUUGUCAUCUCUGUUUUCGCUGAAACUGAGUAAUAGUAAUUGCUAUAGCUUUACAUUCCUUGACCAAAAACUAACGUUUUAAUUGGUGGUGGGAAAGACACUGCUAGAUAAAUUUUGAAAGCAUAUGGGUGGUAUAUAUGGUGGUUUCAAUGUGGGUGGUGUGAUAGAUAAGACACCUUACUCAAAUUCAUAUAAAAAAAUGUCUUCCUAGAAACAAUGAAGGUGAAAAAUAUCCCAUAGGGAAGAAAAAUGAACUGUAUUACUAGAUCCAGUAACUUAUUUCCUUUUAUCUGUAACGAAGAUUGUUUAUUUGCUUUAAUCUGAAAACUUUUUCUAAAAUAUGUGAUUAUUUUUUUCUGUUUAAACAAAAAAUAAAAUCAAAAUUUUAGUCUUUUAAAAAAAUUGUGUGCUGAAUUGAGAUAUUUAUUUUCUGAAUGAUGCAUAAAGAAUUAUCAUUAUCAUUAUUUUCCUAUAUAAUGAUCAAGGGCCUUUGAAAACCUUUGUAUAUAUGCAAAAGGCACAUAAAAGAGGUGGCGCAGAAGUGAUAGGUCACUGUAUGUAGUUUUAUAUUUUAAUAAUGGUUAUUAGUUUUCAUUUUAAUCGUUCACUUCCCUAUUCAAUGAAAAAAAGUGUUAUAUUUAUAAAUUUUAUUGAUGUAUAUAAAAUAUUUUUUUAAAAUUUUAUUAAGUACUACAGUAAGAUUUUGAUUGUGAAAACACAAUCAUAUUUAAAAACCUACCUUGUUAACAUAGCUUAAAAACGUGUAGGUUAAAGAGA